rnacentral:misc_RNA from 1 species
GCAGCUCAUGUCCACGUUCAGACGACAACCCGAGAGAACUGUUUGCAAGAUCGAACAAGAAUUGCACGCCUACACUGAACUCCUUUUGAUCUCUUCUUGGACCUGAUCUUUAA